UUAGGUUAAAAUACAAAAAAUCUCUUUGUAAAUAAUUUUUUCAGUUUUUUCUGACUUUCAAAAACCUAUAUUUUGCCUAUUUAAAAUUUCAGAAAUAUUUUCAGAAGGUCACGGUACUAAUGGAGACGGCGAAAUGACUAAAUCGCCAUGACUUGUUCUGUAAGAGAAAAAAAUAAUAUUUUUAAUAUAUUUUUAUAUUUUUAAGGACAUUUUUGAUAUAAAUUAUAAGAAAUUGACGGAAUUAUAACAGAACUCUUACGGAGGGGGACUAAAUCCAUCAACUUAAAAUUUUGAGUGGGUAAAAUAUAAAUGUUUAAAGGUUAAAAAAAUAAAUAUUUACAGAAAAAUUUUCUGUAUUUCGAUUUUAUUAUUAUUAUUAUUAUUAUUUUCAUAAUGGAAACUAACUCUCCAGAAUGCACAUGGGUGCACAUUGCAGAUGAAUAUUUCCUGAGCAGAUUACCUGCUGUGAACUUGAGGCUUGGUCAAGCUGCAGUUCGAUUAGCUGCAACCCUAAACCGCGUUUUCCGACAAAGCUGAGAUUAAUCGCGCUUUCCGCUUGUGUUUAGCUGCAAAAUAAAAUUUAAACCUCGUUCAAAAGUUUAGAUAUUUUCCUUGCGUCGCAUAAUAUGUCAACGUUCGUGAUCAUUUAUUUGGGUAAACUUUACUUUGUCUUUCUGGUAGUUUAGCAUAUUUUCACUUUAUCUCAGGCGGUUCAACAAAUUGCACUUAACUACUCUGUUAUUUUUAUUGUUAUUCCGCCGAAAAACUUGUUCAUCAAAUAGGAUAGUAAAAUAAAAUUGUUGAGAAACAUUAAAUGAUAUUGUUAAAUAUCAAAAUAUAUAAACACCAUUCUCUAACAGUUUAAGCUUUUAAAGUAUAACGAUUGCUUUACAUGAUAUCAAAGCAAGAGGCCUCGAGUUUGAGUCACGUCAAGCUUUAAGGCGUUAUUAACCCACAGCGUGGCAAAUGAAAACAUUCUAUACUAUAUAUAAGAGAGUUAAGUGAGGUAAAUUAUAAUUUACCCUUUUAAUUUCUUAUAAAUAUUUCUUGAUCUGAACAAACGGACGCCUUAUUGAAUAUUUCUAGUUACAAAAAUUAUUGGGAUAAUUUUAUAUGUAUUCCUGCAAAGUUUUAAACUUGCUAAUUUAUUCAUAUAAAGUUUAAAACUUUGCAGAUUUAUUCAUAUAAAGUUUGGAUUAUCAAGAUAUUUCUCUGAGUCUCCCAAAAAACACAAAUUUAAUAAUUUUUUUUUGAAUUUAUAAUUUAUAGUUCAUGUAGAAAGACACCAAAGUUAAAGAUAAAAAUACUAGAAAUGAUAAAUGAUGUUAGAUAGUAUUAAAAAGAUAAUAUAUUUAAGAAUAGAAGCAUUAUUUUACAGAAGAAAUGUUAACUUCAAUCAUUCAAUUAAUAGGAAGAGAUAUAUUUACAAACUAUGCAACUUAAAAAAAUAGGAAUAAUUACCUAUAUAGCCUCAUACGUUUGAAAAUAUCUAAUUUAUCCUCCCUCUUUUUUUUCUUUCUAAAAUAUCCUUCAUAUGUUCCACCGUUAUUGCAAAAUACCCCCACAGUUAUCUAAUGUUAAGUUAACUUGGGUUAAACGUGAGUUAAAUAUCUACCAGAGUUAAAAAAAAAUUAAAAUGUCAAUUUUGCCCUUAACUUAAGGGCAAAUAAGAAAUAUUGGCGACGGUAGAGGGGUAUAUUGGAAAAGAUCAAAAGUCAAAAUAUUUUUUGUGCCCCUGACUUUAAGGACAAAUAAGAAAGUUAGUAAUAGUGGAGGGGUAUAUUUGAAAGGGCAAAAUAGUAAUUUUACAGAGAUAACAGAGUUAAUUAACAGAUUUUAACUCUAGGGAUAUAUUAGAAAUAGGUUGGAACGUAGAAAGGGUAUUUUCAAUAUUAGCCUUCUAAGAUGGAUAAAUUGGAAAGUCGGAAACUUUUCAGGGAUAUAUAAGCAAUUGCCCCCCAAAAAAUAUAUAUUUUAUAGAAUUAGGCUACUAUACUAUCUAUAGUACCGGAGCUCCGGUACUAUAGUGUUGUUUUCGAUCUUAGGGCAUUCAAAUCAACGAUCCACACCGUUAAAUAUGAUCUAGGGUAUAUGAAGUUCUUAGGAAUAAAAUUUUAGUUUUUUUCGAUAUCGUUUACUUAGUAAAUAAAUUAUGUCAAAAUGGACGGUGGAAAUUGAAUACUCUUUAAAAUUUGAGCAUAGGACUUUUAAAUUUAAGAUCAAGAAUGUUAACCUUAAUCUAUAUAGUUUAAAGUAUUUUCUAUCAAAAUUUGAAGAAAUUUAGAUUCUUCUACACCGUUAAACUCCAAACUUGUCAUAAUAGCUAUUGAAAAUUGACAAUUUUGAAAUGGUUUGAUCAUAAAGUAAACUAUGUCGAAAAAAUAUAAAAUUUUAUUUUUAAAAACUUUAAAUACCAUAGAUCAAUUUUAACGGUGUGGAUCGUUGAUUUGAACGCCCAAAGAUCGAAAACAACACUAUAGUACCGGAGCUCCGAUAUUAUAGAUAGUAUAGUAGCCUAGCUCAUAUUUUAUAACUAUAAGAGAUUAAUCUAAACUUUUUUCAUAUUUAUUAUGCAGAAUAUUUUUUAGU
rnacentral:lncRNA from 1 species